GGUGCUGGAGAAGACUCUGAAGAGUCCCUUGGAAGCAAGAUCAAACCAGUAAAUCCCAAAGGAAAUCAACUCUGAACAUACAUUGGAAGGACUGAUGCGGAAGCUGAAGCUCCAAUACUUUGGCCACUUGAUGUGAAGAGCCGACUUAUUGGAAAAGACCCUCAUGCUGUGACAGAUUGAAGGUAGGAGGAGAAGGGGAUGACAGAGGAUGAGACAGUUGGAUGGCAUCGUUGACUCAACGGACAUGAGUUAGAGCAAACUCCAGGAGAUAGCGAAGGACAGGGAAGCCUGGCGUGCUGCAGUCCGUGGGGUAGUAAAGAGUCGGAUACAAUUAGGUGACUGAACAACAACAACCUUUGAGGGGCCGCUAUUCAGUCCACUGUUCCACCCAUCUUUUUCCCUGCACCCCUUAACAUUUUAUCUGUUGAGACACCCAGGCUGUCUGACCUGUAGCAGUCCCUACAGGCUGGACUUUGCUGGCUGUGCACUCCAGACCCAGUGCUGCUGCAUGGCCCUCUGUGCUGGGAAUUUCCUGCAAACUGGCAGUGGGAUCCAGGGGCUGGAUUGGGCUCAGGCCCUAUCCCCUUGGUCUCGUGGGCUUGCAUCAGGACCACAGACCCCUUCGCGGCCGGUGGUCUCUCUUUGUGCUAUCAGUAUCACUGGCGUUCAGUGCCCAGAUCCACUCACUCACCAUCGCACUGCAGCACGUGACGCUCCAGUCCUGUCCCCUGCAGCUGACUCUAUUAGUUGGAAUACUUUCCUCAAGAGAUGCUUUCUGUUGCAUAUGGUUUGUCACCAGUGGAGCAGGGAGGCAGAAUGACGGCCCGACUCCUUCCCUUUACCACUUUUCUGGCUAAGAACCCAGUUCAUAUCAUCCCCUGAAGGAGAUCCACUAGUUUUUAAAACACAUGUCCUAUCUCUCUCUUAGAUGUUUUCAUUUUAAACAAAGGGUUUGAGAGCCCGUGUCCUAUUUAAAUGAACUAUUUUGUAAAUGAAUGUUUAUAUUUAUUUGGCUGUACUUGGUCUUAGUUGCAGCACGUGAGAUCUUCAGUCUUUGCUGUGGCAUACAGGAUCUUGAGUUGCAGCAUGUGGGAUCUAGUUCCCUGACCAGGGAUUGAACCCAGGCCCUCUGCAUUGGGAGCUCAGAGUCUUAGUCACUGGACCACCAGUGUGCGUGUAUGCUCUCCUCCUUACCGUCUCUGGCCACAUCAGUGCCAUGUAGCCUCCCCGCCUCAGGGGGACUCCCUUCUCUGCGCAGAAGCCCCCUAUCUCCUUUCCGAGAUUCCAGGAGUCUCUGCCCCUGCCCCAGUCUGCUCAGGGGAAGCAGGCUCCUGGUGACCUGUUUUGGGUGGCCUCCCAAGCAUCUAUGAGUGAUGCUGUGUAGGUCUGGCCACCUACCCCGGCCCUGCCACCUCUGUUGGAUAAGAACAGCUAGUCCUUCCAGAACACUGCUGUGCACCAGGUACCAUCCUAGGCACUUAACUAGUCUCACCACACAGCUAGACUAGGAGGCUGGCGCUGUCAUCACGCAUUUUCUAGAAGAUGAGACUUUGGCUCAGGGCCACCUUGGGAGUGGGAGGAAGAGCCAGGACCCACCCACUGACCGCUGAGCUCCUGAGUUGGCCAGAAAACAGCCCAACUAAGACCAAUCCCUCAGCAUCCUUUGGGGAAGGAGCCAGAACCUGCAUAAGGAGUCAACAAUGCAAGAAGGGACUCACUGCCUUGGGAGCAGUAGUUCUGGAGCUCCGGCCAGCAUCAGAGUCACAGGAGAGUGUGAUAAAGCACAGACCACCAGGUCGACCCCAGAGUCCCUCACUCAGUAGGGCUAGGGAGGGCUGAGAACCUGCAUUUCUAAUGAGUUCUCCUCCAGGGAUGCUGAUGCUGCAGGUCUGAGGAUCCCCUUUUGGAAUCAGCUGCUUUAGUGAACUUGCCUGCCUGCUGUGGAAGAACAGGGGCCAGGCUCCCUCCUGGGGCACAUGGCGUGGUGGUUCCAAGACAAACUUUCCCAUCUAGGUGAUCCUGUGAUAACGUGUGCGUGUGCAUGUUCGCAGUUGCUCAGUCAUGUCUCACUCUUUGUGAUCCCAUGGACUGUAGCCCACCAGGCUCCUCUGUCCAUGGGAUUUCUCAGGCAAGCAUACUAGAGUGGGUUGCCAUUUCCUUCUCCAGGGGAUCUUUCCAAUCCAGGGAUCAGACUCGCAUCUCCUGCAUUGGCAGGCAGAUUCUUUACCAGAGAGCCAUCUGGGAAGCCCCAAUAAUAACCUUAUGAUUAUGCUAAAAAAAAAAAAAAAAAAACAACCCUUCAUCUGUUAGAGAUGCAUUCUGAGGGAUUCAUAGGUAUUGUAUAUCUCUGGGAUUCACUUUAAAAUACUCCAGACUCUACCUCUGCAAAAGGUUGAAAGUCUAAAUGAAGCAACGGUAGCUGGCUGAUGAGUCCAGAGGGGUUCAUUCUACCACUUUCUAUACCUUGUUUAUAUGUGAAAGUGUUAUUCAUAAGCCUUGUUGAUUUCAGGUAGAGGAAAAGCUCUGGCUCCCCACUUACAACUGACCUUGAGCUAGAAACUUGCAGUAUCUGAGCCUCAAUUCUUUUUGCUGUCAAUGCAGCUGAUGGCAUCUUUCCAACUGGGUUAUCGAGGACAUCAUGGAUAAGAGCUGUUAGCAUUCACCUUGGCACGUGACCCAUGAGACUUUAAUUCCCCCGAUGUACUCUCACACAUUCUCCAGCCCGACUUGCCCAGGGCAGCACCUAAUGGGCAGGGGACUCACCCAUCUCAAGACACCUGUUCAACAAGUUCCUGGGAUGAGUGUGAAACUUUCCAGAAGCUGUCCAUCUGCGAGCAGGCAGCGUGGGUGUGGAAUGUGGGGUGGGGAGGCCAUGGGUGUGUUCUCAGGAUGUGAGGCUUCUGGGCAGUCACAGGCAUGUUGGCCGCUUGGACGCCUUGCUAUUGACCCCACAAUACAGCUCUGACUUGCCGUGGCGGGGGGCGUGGGCAGGGGGGUUCUUUAUGGAGCCACCAGGUCGGUCGCAGGAGAUCCCUGGUUUCCAGUUCAGAGGUGGUUCCAGUGGAUUCCAUGGGGCCUUCAGCUUGCCAACCCGUCUCCAGUCAAGCAGUGCUGUGGUUGGUGUUCUGUAUUGUUUUGGCUUUGAUUACAAAAAAUAAAACCCCGUUUGUGCUAGCCCAGGGCAAAGUUGGGGCAGCCAGUGACUGGGAAACCUGGAGCUGUUUCCUUGAACCUCAAUGCAGGGAGGGCGGCCAAGUCUCAUAUCGGUUGGCACAAACUGAAAACCUGUCAAGAACGUAUUGGCUUCACUCUCUCCUUCCCUCUCCUCUUCCUGCUCCUCCUCUCUCUCUGGGUCUCCCUCCCGUCCCUCUUCCUCAUGGACAGGAUAGGAAACGGCCUCCACAAAGCACAAGUCCUACUCCUCUGUCUGUACCACUAGGGCUGGCUGAAGUUUGCCCAGCAUUUUCUGUGUGCCAGGUCUUGGGCAAAAGACUUCACCACCUGGGUUUCACGUAAUCACACAGCAGCCAUAGAAGAAGAUACUGCUUUCAUCCUUCCAACUUCCAGAGAUGAAACUGAAGUACUGAGAAGCUCAAGAAGUUACCUGAGACCAUGUUGUACAUUCAAGAGCAUCUUCUUGGGGGGAGGAAUUUGAUUGGCUCAGCUUGAGUCAGGUGACCUGUUUCUCCACCAAUCAGCUAUGGUGAAGGAGGCGGGUCUCAGAGCAUCAACGUGGCAACCUCCAGGCCCAGCAUUAGAGAACUCUUCUCAGAUGGGGUGGUGAGCCUGGCACCUGAUCCCACUCUGUUCCUUUCCUCCUUCCUGAGUAGCCUCCCAUGGACACAGAUCCCUGCAACAUUUGUCUUCUGAAGUCAGAUGGGGCUGGAGUUCAAAUCCUGCCUCUGCCAUUUUCCUGAUGGUCUACUCUUGCGCAAAUGACUUAACCUGCCUGAGCCUCAGUGUUGUCAUCUGUAAAUGGGGUUCAUAAGACUGGCUUCUCAGAGACACGUGUGUGCACAGUCACUUCAGGCGUGUUCAACUCUUUGCGAACCCAAAGGACUAUAGCUCGCCAGGCUCCUCUGUCCAUGGGGUUUUUUAGGCAAGAAUACUGGAGUGGGUUGCCAUUUCCUCUUCAAAGGCAUCUUCCCAACCCAGUAGUUGAACCUGUGUCUCCUGUGUGUCCUGUGUUGACAGGCAGAUUCUUUUACACUGAGCUACCUGGGAAGCCCUUCUCAGAGACAUGGGAGAAGCAAAUGAGACCAUAACCCACGUAAACCCUCCAGUGGCUUCCCAUUGUUUUCAUGUUCAAGUUGAAAUUCAGGGUGUAAACUGGCUGGCACCUGCUUAACAACCUACCCUGUAUCUUCCCAGUGCCAGAGUACGCCUAAUUCAGCGGUGCCUCUGCCUGAAUGCCUUCCCUCUUCUUCCCAAUCGACGUUAGCAGACAUGACCCCAAGUGGGCUGAAC
ensembl:lncRNA